rnacentral:snRNA from 1 species
GGUUGUUUGGGCAAUCUGGCUGUGACAUCUGUUACCCCAUUCAUUUGGCUGACCUGGCUGGCUAGGCGGGUGUUCCCAUGCCCCCUCACCGCUCCCUGGGCAUCCCUCCCAAACUGGCAUACUUGGUCAAAGAUGGCCUUCCCCAAAGAGAGGAAUUCCCGUCUUUGGUCCAGGGUAUACGAGUAGCUGUACUCUCCUGCUAGAACCUCCAAACAAACUCUCAAGAAAACCAGUUUAGGGCUGGAGAGAUGGCUUAGCGGUUAAGCGCUUGCCUGUGAAGCCUAAGGACCUUG